rnacentral:misc_RNA from 1 species
GAUGAAGAACGUAGCGAAAUGCGAUAAGUAGUGUGAAUUGCAGAAUUCCGUGAAUCAUCGAAUCUUUGAACGCACAUUGCGCCUUCUGGUAUUCCGGGGGGCAUGCCUGUCCGAGCGUCAUUACAACCCUCAAGCUCAGCUUGGUGUUGGGCCCCGCCGCCCCGGCGGGCCCUAAAGUCAGUGGCGGUGCCGUCCGGCUCCGAGCGUAGUAAUUCUUCUCGCUCUGGAGGUCCGGUCGUGUGCUCGCCAGCAACCCCCAAUUUUUUUCAGGUUGACCUCGGAUCAGGUAGGGAUACCCGCUGAACUUAAGCAUAUCAAUAAGCGGAGGA